rnacentral:rRNA from 1 species
GAUGAACGCUGGCGGCGUGCCUAAUACAUGCAAGUCGAACGCAUAGCGAAAGGUGCUUGCACCUUUCAAGUGAGUGGCGAACGGGUGAGUAACACGUGGACAACCUGCCUCAAGGCUGGGGAUAACAUUUGGAAACAGAUGCUAAUACCGAAUAAAACUUAGUGUCGCAUGACACAAAGUUAAAAGGCGCUUCGGCGUCACCUAGAGAUGGAUCCGCGGUGCAUUAGUUAGUUGGUGGGGUAAAGGCCUACCAAGACAAUGAUGCAUAGCCGAGUUGAGAGACUGAUCGGCCACAUUGGGACUGAGACACGGCCCAAACUCCUACGGGAGGCUGCAGUAGGGAAUCUUCCACAAUGGGCGAAAGCCUGAUGGAGCAACGCCGCGUGUGUGAUGAAGGCUUUCGGGCCGUAAAGCACUGUUGUAUGGGAAGAACAGCUAGAAUAGGAAAUGAUUUUAGUUUGACGGUACCAUACCAGAAAGGGACGGCUAAAUACGUG